GGUGGCUCACGCCUGUAAUCCCAGCACUUUGGGAGGCCUAGGCAGACGGAUCUCGAGGUCAGGAGUUCAAGACCAGCCUGGCCAACAUAGUGAAACCCUGUCUCUACUAAAAAUACAAAAAUUAGCCGGGCAUGGUGACACGUGCCUGUAGUACCGGCUACUCGGGAGGCUGAGGCAGGAGAAUCGCUUGAAACCGGGAGGCGGAGGUUGCAGUGAGCCAAGAUCGUGCCACUGCACUCUAGCUUGGGCAACAGAGUGAGACUUCAUCUCAAAAAAAUAAAGAAAUAAAAUAAAAUAAAGUUUUUUUCAUAAGAUUUCCUUAUUAUUUUUUAAUAUUUGUAGGAUCUGUAAUGUUGUUCUCCUGAUAUUGAUAAUGUAUGUUUUUUCUUGAUCAGUCUGACUUAAGAUUUAUCCAUUGUAUUGAUCUUUUCACAGAACCAGCUUUUGAUUGUGUUUAUUUUUGUGUUUUUCAUUUUCUAUUUCUUUGAGAUAGAAAGAAAUCCUUAUUGAUUACUAUAUCUUGCAUACAGAAGAGCAUUUAGAACACGUGCGUACUUUUCAGAAGAAAUAUAUAGCUAACACCUGGAUAAUCACCACUCAGGUUGAGAACUACGACUCUACCCCUUCCAGAUGGCAUCCUCCUACCUCUCUCCUGGAUGUAACCUGUAUCCCAAAUUCGGGGAAGUCUGGGAAGUUGACGAGCAGAUAGAUCACUA
rnacentral:lncRNA from 1 species